UUAGAGUUUGAUCCUGGCUCAGAUUGAACGCUGGCGGCAGGCUUAGCACAUGCAAGUCGAGCGGUAACAUUUCUAGCUUGCUAGAAGAUGACGAGCGGCGGACGGGUGAGUAAUACUUAGGAAUCUACCUAGUAGUGGGGGAUAGCUCGGGGAAACUCGAAUUAAUACACGCAUACGACCUACGGGAGAAAGGGGGCAACUUGUUGCUCUCGCUAUUAGAUGAGCCUAAGUCGGAUUAGCUAGAUGGUGGGGUAAAGGCCUACCAUGGCGACGAUCUGUAGCUGGUCUGAGAGGAUGAUCAGCCACACCGGGACUGAGACACGGCCCGGACUCCUACGGGAGGCAGCAGUGGGGAAUAUUGGACAAUGGGGGAAACCCUGAUCCAGCCAUGCCGCGUGUGUGAAGAAGGCCUUUUGGUUGUAAAGCACUUUAAGCAGUGAAGAAGACUCUUCGGUUAAUACCCGGAGACGAUGACAUUAGCUGCAGAAUAAGCACCGGCUAACUCUGUGCCAGCAGCCGCGGUAAUACAGAGGGUGCAAGCGUUAAUCGGAAUUACUGGGCGUAAAGCGAGCGUAGGUGGCUUGAUAAGUCAGAUGUGAAAUCCCCGGGCUUAACCUGGGAACUGCAUCUGAUACUGUCAGGCUAGAGUAGGUGAGAGGAAGGUAGAAUUCCAGGUGUAGCGGUGAAAUGCGUAGAGAUCUGGAGGAAUACCGAUGGCGAAGGCAGCCUUCUGGCAUCAUACUGACACUGAGGCUCGAAAGCGUGGGUAGCAAACAGGAUUAGAUACCCUGGUAGUCCACGCCGUAAACGAUGUCUACUAGUCGUUGGGUCCCUUGAGGACUUAGUGACGCAGCUAACGCAAUAAGUAGACCGCCUGGGGAGUACGGCCGCAAGGUUAAAACUCAAAUGAAUUGACGGGGGCCCGCACAAGCGGUGGAGCAUGUGGUUUAAUUCGAUGCAACGCGAAGAACCUUACCUGGUCUUGACAUAUCUAGAAUCCUGCAGAGAUGCGGGAGUGCCUUCGGGAAUUAGAAUACAGGUGCUGCAUGGCUGUCGUCAGCUCGUGUCGUGAGAUGUUGGGUUAAGUCCCGCAACGAGCGCAACCCUUGUCCUUAGUUACCAGCGGGUUAAGCCGGGAACUCUAAGGAUACUGCCAGUGACAAACUGGAGGAAGGCGGGGACGACGUCAAGUCAUCAUGGCUCUUACGACCAGGCUACACACGUGCUACAAUGGUAGGUACAGAGGGCAGCUACACAGCGAUGUGAUGCGAAUCUCAAAAG
rnacentral:rRNA from 1 species